rnacentral:rRNA from 1 species
AUGAGCCGCAUGAGGUCUGAGCUUAUUCGCCGGCUCAUGGGAAAGGCGGGCCAAGUGGCCGACAGGAUCGCCUCGGGCACACAACGGUUCACUGACACACAAUGGGUGUGGGCGGUGGCGCAGUGUACGAGGGACCUGCCGGCAAGCGAAUGCACACGCUGUCUCUCCUACUACACUGAUCAGCUGCCGCGGUUGUUCCCGAACAACAGUGGCGGCGCCAUCAAGGGGUAUAGCUGCUACUUGGGGUACGCCAUCCUUGUCGACAAGCCAUCUACUGUGCGGCUUAACAGGUACCUGUACAGCGAGAACUAUCAGAAGGACAUGGCGGCCCAGGAGUUGGAGCGUGAGAGGGCGAUGGCGGAUGAGGACGCGAGGCGCAGAAAAAAGCGGCGAAAGAUUGUUAUCAUUGUCAGCCUUGUUGCCAUCGCCGUGGCGCUCGUGGUCUGUCUGAUCGGCCUGUUGAUUCGGUUCAUGUGGUACUGGUGGCGAGGCUGGGUGGCAGCAGGCAGGGUUGCCAUGGGAUCAUACAUGGAAAAACUGACGAAAGAGGCGGCCUACUUCCUCAGCAAAUGCGUAUGGCAAGACGAGCUCGAGCAAGGGACUGGACCGAGACGAUUCAGGUACGAGGAGCUUGCGGCCGCCACCAACGACUUCUCUGGAAGGAACAAGCUAGGAGAAGGAGGCUUCGGAUCCGUGUACCGGGGGUUUCUCCAUGACAUGAACCUUCACAUCGUCGUGAAGAAAGUGUCCAAGAGCUCUUGUCAGGGCUGGAAGGAGUUUGUCUCUGAGGUGAGGAUAAUUAGCCGGCUCCGGCACCGGAACCUCGUGCCGCUUGUUGGAUGGUACUAUGGCGGCAACGACGACGGUCUGCUGCUUGUCUACGAGCUGAUGCCCAAUGGCAGCCUGGACGCUCACCUGCACAAGCCGGACCACCUGCUGCCAUGGGCAGUCAGGUAUGGGGUCGCACUCAGCCUCGGGUCCGCACUGCUGUACCUGCACGAGGACAUGGAGGAGCGCAUUGUGCACAGGGACAUCAAGCCAAGCAACAUCAUGCUAGGCGCGUCCUUCAACGCCAAGCUCGGUGACUUCAGGCUUGCGAGGUUCAUCUGCGAUGGCCGGGGCUCGUUAACGACGGGUGCAGCUGGGACACUCGGGUACAUGGACCCGAAGUGCGUGUUUGCGGGCACAGCCAGUGUGGAAUCUGACAUCUACAGCUUCGGUGUUGUCCUGCUCGAGAUGGCCUGUGGCCGGAUGCCGGCGGUGGUCCGAGACGACGAUGGUGGAGCAGUUGUCCACCUGUUGCAGUGGGUAUGGGAGUCAUACGGCAGAGGGGCCAUUCUAGAGGCAGCCGACGCCCGAAUGGACGGCAAGUUCGACGAGAAAGAGAUGGAACGUGUCAUGGUGGUUGGGCUUUGGUGCGGGCACCCCGACCCCGGCUUGAGGCCGUCCAUCAGGCAGGCUAUCAGCGUGCUUCGUUUGGAGGCGCCGCUGCCAAGCCUCCCAGCGGAGAUGCCGGCCGCAACAUACCUGAUGCGGCCAGCGGCUGAUGAAUCUGUUUGUUCUUCGGUGGUCAGUGGCGGGGAUGCCAGCACAACUCGUUCGGCUCGAGGCAAAGUCGAGUAG